UGGGGAAUAUUGCGCAAUGGACGAAAGUCUGACGCAGCGACGCCGCGUGAGGGAUGAAGGUCUUCGGAUCGUAAACCUCUGUCAGAGGGGAAGAAACUACGGGGUGCUAAUCAGCCUCGUACUGACGGUACCCUCAAAGGAAGCACCGGCUAACUCCGUGCCAGCAGCCGCGGUAAUACGGAGGGUGCGAGCGUUAAUCGGAAUCACUGGGCGUAAAGCGCUCGUAGGCUGUUUGUUAAGUCAGAGGUGAAAUCCCACGGCUCAACCGUGGAACUGCCUUUGAUACUGGCAGACUAGAAUCCGGGAGAGGGUGGUGGAAUUCCAGGUGUAGGAGUGAAAUCCGUAGAUAUCUGGAGGAACAUCAGUGGCGAAGGCGACCACCUGGACCGGUAUUGACGCUGAGGAGCGAAAGCGUGGGGAGCAAACA
rnacentral:rRNA from 1 species